AUGCUCCUACGGGACGCAGCAGUGAGGAAUAUUGGUCAAUGGGCGGGAGCCUGAACCAGCCACGUCGCGUGAGGGAUGACGGCCCUAUGGGUUGUAAACCUCUUUUGCCGGGGAGCAAAGUGCCGCACGUGUGCGGUUUGGAGAGUACCCAGAGAAAAAGCAUCGGCUAACUCCGUGCCAGCAGCCGCGGUAAUACGGAGGAUGCGAGCGUUAUCCGGAUUUAUUGGGUUUAAAGGGUGCGUAGGCGGACGCUUAAGUCAGCGGUAAAAUUGCGUGGCUCAACCUCGUCGAGCCGUUGAAACUGG
rnacentral:rRNA from 1 species